rnacentral:lncRNA from 1 species
UCUCUCUCUCUCUCUCUCUCUCUGUCUCUCUCGCUCUCUCAAUCUCUCCUGGACGGUCGCCGGCACUAGCCCUCUCCCUCUAUCCUCGAAGGUCGACGGCACCGACCCUUUCUCCUCGAAUUAGACUGGAGUAGUGGAAGGCGAUACUGUUGGAAUCGAGAGAGCGGGAGAAGAAGUCAGUUCGCCUUUCAUUUGGAUCAAUCUUGAAAGCUUGGCUAUCGAAGGGGUAUUGUUCGGUUUUGCUGUGAGGAGGAAGAGGACCUGCGUUUUGGAUAACUGCAUUUUGAGCCAAGGAGAAGAUGAGGAACUUGGGUAUAGGGUUGUGAUCGAUACUUAGUUUUUGGGGUGAGAAGUUUAAUGCAUGGUGUUGACACUGAAGCAGCAGUACAGAAGCUUAGAGGCCGAGUUGGAACAACUGUUACAGUAAAAGUUCAGUGGCAAUGAUUUGGGAAGUGAUGCUAGUAUAAGAGAGGUACUCAGAUCAUGGAUAAA